UUCAGUUGCUUAAAAAUGUAAUCAAAUGUUCAGCAGCACACAUGACUGAGAAGUCUAAAGAGAAGAAAAGGAGGCACAAGCCCUGAAGAACCAACGCAGCUAUGGGAGAGUGAACUGCAUGCUUUCCCUUCUUCUACAUUACCGACUGAGUUGUCGAUUGCUUUCCAAUUCUGGUCAAUCAGUUUUGCCUGUGCGGAAACUGUAUAAGGCAAUUGGACAUUACAGAUUAUUACCAACUCUUCAGGACAGGAACGUUUUUCCUGUAAAGGACUUUUGGGUACUCCGUAAAUUAAGAAAGACAACCACCAACAC